UCCACAUUUAUUAUAUCAAUCCAUUACACAUGUGAAACCUAUAUGGUUUUAUUCACAACCUACAUAAUAUAUAAAAAUAUUUACAACCACAAAACUUAUUUUUCACAUCCAUGUAAUUUAUACAAUUUAAAUAAUUAUACAUUAAAAGAUUAUAUUUCCAAAUCAAAAUGCCUAGUACAAUGUAAUCUUAUAAUGUGUACAAAAAUCACAUCAUGUCAUCCCUUGUCUUGAGCAAAAUAUUUCUCUUGCCCUUCACCCCCGUGUCGAUUCUUGAUCUUUACUUUUAUUACUUACGAAAAGUUCAAAUAAUUUUCCGCUAAGCAAAAUGCUUAGUGGUGCUAUAACUUAAAAAUAACACAUCAUGCCAUAUGUGUGCAAGCUAAACAUACAUAGUCUCAUGAAAAAUGCUUCUACUAGCUUUAGUUCAAUAGUACUAAAUUCACUCCCACACAACCCAUGGAAUUUGACAUAGCAAUUAACCACAUAAAAUAAUUAUAAUUAUAGUUCAUAGUGUCAUGAAUAAUUCUUUACAUGCAUCAUUUCAUUUGUUUCAUUAGCCCAAUUAUAAUGCCUAGAUGACUCAAGUGACAAGUAAUCAUAUCAUGGCAUAAAGCCAAGUAAUUGUGCACAAUUUCAAGUAUUGAUUUGUCAAUUUUCUCAUCAUGUAACCUAGCUUUAGGCUUAUAAGGGGCAUACAUAUUAUGAAUAUUACAUGAAAUUUAUUCAAUCAAUCAUGCUCACCAAUUCCCUUUUUCAUUCACAACUUAUAUGGAAUAACUACCGUGAAAAUCACAAUUUCCCAACUCAAGUCAAACUGGACAGUAGGAGCAGUCACUUUGAAAUUUAACUAAAAAUCAUAGAAACAAGGUAUCAUCAUCAUAUUCUCCAGAAUUCAAGUUCCAUAUGUCCAUUUCAAUUUUUAGUUUGAAUCAUCUCAAAAUCUGGGCUACAACUCAAGUUAUAAAUGAAAAUGUGCAAACUAUUCUGAACUCCGGUCAUAGUCAGAGCAGUAACAAAAAAUGCAAAAAUUUCACCAUGCAGCUGACUAAAUCAAUUUUUUGUUAUAACUACAAAGUUAUAGAGCAUUCAAUAAGCUUUUUAAUGGUUCAAGAAUCACCCUAUUUCAAGUUUUAUAGCUCAAGUUAUGAAUUUUUAAAAUCGAGUGUUCUAUUCUAGAAAAUUUCUAGGCAGUUUUUCAAUUUUGAGCAAUAAAAAGUUUUGCCUUAAAACCUUAUCUUAAUAGAGGAAUUAGGGUUUGCACGAAACUACAAAGUUUUAGGGCACUCUCUAAAGUUUUCAUUGACAUAAAGAUCACCAAAAUCCAAUAUUUCUAACUAAAGUUAUGAAUUUUCAAAGUAAUCUGGUCCUAAAUCUCCUACUGGCAUAUUAGGGUUUUCAGUACUUCUUCAAGUCCCAAAUCAUUUCUAUCCUAGUGUAUCCAAGAAAUUCCUACUUAACCAUGACAAAAGAAUAGAGUUAUGGCACUAACUUCUUUUGAAUACCAGCUGCUGCCCCUUUCUUUUUAAGUCUCCACAAAAUACUUCACAGCUUGAAUCUUCACCUCUUCAAGCUUGAAUCUUCACCUCUUCUUGUUACCUUUUGCUUGGCUACUAUGGUGAUGAUGUUUUAAGGUUUUUGGCUUGGUGUUUCUCCUUCUAACUUCAGAGGAAAUGGGCUGUUAAGAGGACAAAAGAAGAAAGAAAGAAGAUGAGGUAGUGGCUGGCCAAUUGAAGAAAAUAAGGAAGGGAAGUUUUUGGCUUUAUUUAAAAAGUUUUGAUGUGUUUUCUAAUUUUGAUUGGCUGCCUUUUUAUUUUUUCUUUCUUUUUUUUUUCCAUUUUCAAUUUUCCCAUCAACUUAUUAAUUUAUUCAAGUCACUCCUUUUAUCAUUUACCCCUUUCAAACAAGUCCCCUGGUCCAUUCUUUCCUAAUUUCUUCUCCACUUUCUAAAUUAUUUGAUUUAGUCUUCAUAAUUAAGUUUUAAUUUUCACAUAAUUAAUUAUGUCAUA
rnacentral:misc_RNA from 1 species